UGUCUAUGGCCAUACCACCGUGAAUGCAUCUGAUCUAUCUGAUCUCAGAAGCUAAGCAGUGUCAGAACUGGUUAGUACUUGGAUAAGAGAAAGGUAAAUACAUAACAU
rnacentral:rRNA from 1 species